AAUAUGUGCAAAGAGACGAUCAACUUCCAGAGAGCAUUGAUUCGGAGAUGCAUGAUGAUGUGGUUGAGGUGGACAAGAUUGAGGACAGUAAUCGUGAGGAAGAUGAUGGGGCUGGGUUUGAGGCGGAUGAACAAGUGGUGGAAUUAAACAUUGAUGAAGGGAAUUUGGGAAUCUGGACAGUACGUGGUAGAUGACAUGCACUGAAGAAAACAGAUACAUUUUUAUGAGACCGGGUAGUAAGAGCAGAGUGUUGAAGAAGACAAAAAGUUUGAAGACAAUGAAGGAGGAGGAAAGAUGUUCAACAUGAAGUAAAGGGGGAACUGCUUGUAACCUAAGUAGGAUUGUGAAGAUGAAAACUUGGUCAAACGUAGGUGAUUGGCUGAGCUGAACAGUACAGGAUGAUUGUCAUACACUGAAGAAGACAGAUACAUCUUAUGGGACAGGGUAGUAAAAGGAAGGUGUUGAAGUGGACAGAGACUUUAAAGACGAAUGAUGAGGGAUCAUGAAUUUUAGAUACAAGUGGAGUGUUUUUGAAGGAUAGAGAGAGAGAGAGAGGAGGGAUCUAAAGCCUUUGUUAACUCUCCUUUUUCUAGGAUUUCUUUGACUAUUUCUUCAGAACCAGAAGGAUCAAACCCUCCCUUGCCACUCUUAGGGAAAUUAGCAGGUUUGGGCUUACAGUUGCAGUGGUAGUGUACUGAACUCAAUUUGAAUAUUUUAUCUUCUUCUGAGACUGUCCAACCCAAGUUAUUCGACCAUUUGACAUGUCUACAUUCCUUAUAUUUGAAAGUUGGAGAAUAAUGAAAUAUGAAGAUAUAGAAGAGGAAUUUAAAAGCCUCUUUUCUUUUGUGGAUGUUUGGUUCUUUCUUCUCUCUUUUGCUUCAUAACUUCAUUCUCACCUCAGAAUUAAAACAGCUAAACCCUCCCUGCCUCAGACUUAAUGACUUCAGCAUAUGAUAUAAUACUUUAGCAUAACUGAGAGCAGGUAAAACCACAAUAGAGAGCAGCAGAUUACUUUCAAAAUUAUAGCACCGACUUCCCAGCUCCUACCAGAGUUACUGUGUGUCCAACUGCAAUGAACUUAUGAGACUGUCUAUAGCACCUUCCUACUUCUCAAAUUUUACAACACUUACGCCCUGCACUACAUGGGGGGUGAUAUUUUACUAGAGAGGAGGUUGAACUUGUAGGGAAGUUUUUAUGGAGUAUGGGAGUGAGAUUGCCUUGGUUGGUGAUUUGCUAGUUACAAGUCUGCCUACUAUUGAGCAGAAACCAGAUCAAACCUAGUCCAAAAGAAAGAUGUGUUGGUCAAGGAUGAUGAAAAAAGUCAAAAACCUCGAUGGCUAUCAAUGGAUUCAUAGCAAUGUAAGCUACUCUUGCUAAUAUUGAUCUGGACUGUUGCUUGAUUCCCGAGUCACCCUUUUACCUUGAAGGAGCUGGAGGACAAUUUGAAGAAAUAAAUUAAAGAAAAUGGAUACAUGGUUAUAGUAAUAGCUAAAAAGUGCAAGAAAAAAGCUUUUUUGUAAGCAUGAACACCAAAGACCUGCAGGAUUCUUUUGCAAAUAAGCUACUCCAGGAUGUGAGUCUGGAUAUAUCAAAAUUUUAGGGGUUCAUGAGAAAUUCUUUGAAGUAAUCACAACCUUUUUGCUGCUCAUUAUCAAUUCAUGAAAUUGAAGAUGGCUAUUAGCCUUAAAUUUUUAGAUCCCAUGUACAUGCUGUUCCAAGCAAUGCAUCGGAUAAUGUGUGUUAAAUCCCCCUAGUGCACAACCAUUUGUGGGGCAAUGGCAGGGUAUACGAGCUCCUAUUAAUGGGAGACAUGCUUAGAUACCAUUCUAUAGCCAGAGGUGUUUCAUAGCAUGGAAGAGAAACAACUGGCAGUAGGGAUGAAGAUAUUAUGAAUACAUUGGCUUCAUUAGUUGGAUUAGCUGUCUCAUGUCAGUCAUGCCACACUAAAGGAGUUCUUUCCAUAGUUUGGUUUAUUUCCUUCAAGAUAGAGGUCAUUUCAAAGCACAAGACAAACAGAAGUAAUCUUCUCUCUUCCUCCCCCUCCUCUGUUUUAGGCAAAUUAUGUUUGUCCAGAACUCUUCCUGCCUUUUCUUUCUCUCUGUGGUGGUGUUGUUACUAUUAAUUGAUGUUUUUUUUUUUUACCAUGAAUAGCACCUGUAUCCGACCAAACAAAACCCACUUACUUUACAAGGGAGCUCUGAGGGCGAGCACUUGACAUAUGAGAAAGGAUUCUGAGCUACCAAAGAAGUAAUUCUUCCCUUUAUCACUGACAAGGCUCAUUAAGCUGGUACCACAACCCAUGUUUGAAGUUUUACGCAUGGAGAAUGAUGUUGUAUACUAUGAGGCCCAAUUGCCCAUACUAUUUGUGGAGUUCAUGCACGGUCUGCCACUUAUAAACUCGGGGUGCAGGUAUUGCAUAGAUUAUCUAGUACAGUGUAAAACUAUUGGAGAGGCACAUUUUAUAGGGUUCAAAAUUGUUGAGCAAGGAUGCACCUCAAAUAAGCUUGUCUUACAUUCUGAUGCAAGAUAGCUAAUUGAUAAAGCUUGAUAGGCCCUGCAUACGUCAGAUUAAUGAAGCUCCCUUUCUCUUUGUCCUGAUCAUUGACCUUAUUUAUAAAGCUCUAUACUCAAUUCAUGGAUGUAAAAGUGCUGAUAGAUGUGUCUCCAUUCAAAAUCAUGAACAUAGCAUGUCAAGGAUGUCAAGAAGAAACAAUGUCAAGCAGUGACUUAUGAACAGGAAAUUAGGCAAAUGCUUUUAUGUAUAUCUGUAAGUUCAUUCCAAAGAGUUUGUUGUUUAAAUGUGAAUGCCUGGAUAAAACGUUUAUUGCUGUAAGGACAGGUUUUGAUUUCAA